GUGGGGAAUCUUGCGCAAUGGGCGAAAGCCUGACGCAGCCAUGCCGCGUGAAUGAUGAAGGUCUUAGGAUUGUAAAAUUCUUUCACCGGGGACGAUAAUGACGGUACCCGGAGAAGAAGCUCCGGCUAACUUCGUGCCAGCAGCCGCGGUAAUACGAAGGGGGCUAGCGUUGCUCGGAAUUACUGGGCGUAAAGGGCGCGUAGGCGGACAGCUUAGUCAGAGGUGAAAGCACAGGGCUCAACCUUGGAAUUGCCUUGGAUACUGGCUGUCUUGAGUUUGUGAGAGGUGAGUGGACCUCCGAGUGUAGAGGUGAAAUUCGUAGAUAUUCGGAAGAACACCAGUGGCGAAGGCGACUCACUGGCCCAAUACUGACGCUGAGGCGCGAAAGCGUGGGGAGCAAACAGGAUUAGAAACCCUUGUAGUCC
rnacentral:rRNA from 1 species